rnacentral:tRNA from 2 species
GGAGAGGUGCGAGAGCGGCCGAAUCGGAACGCUUGGAAAGCGUUUGUGGCGGUAACGUCACCGUGGGUUCGAAUCCCACCCUCUCCGCCA